rnacentral:rRNA from 1 species
GACGAAGGAUGCAAGCGUUAUCCGGAUUCAUUGGGUUUAAAGGGAGCGUAGGUGGUCUUAUAAGUCAGUGGUGAAAUCUCGCAGCUUAACUGCGAAACUGCCAUUGAUACUGUAGGACUUGAGUAUAGUUGCUGUGGGCGGAAUAUGACAUGUAGUGGUGAAAUACUUAGAGAUGUCAUAGAACACCGAUUGCGAAGGCAGCUCACAAAACUAUAACUGACACUGAGGCUCGAAAGUGCGGGGAUCAAACAGGAUUAGAAACCCCCGUAGUCC